rnacentral:rRNA from 1 species
ACGACGACCGGCGGAUGGGUGCGUAACGCGUAUGCAACUUGCCUCACAGUGGAGAAUAACCCGGAGAAAUCCGGACUAAUGCUCCAUACACUCUUGAGUACGCCUGUGCGUAAGAGGAAAGAUUUAUCGCUGUGAGAUAGGCAUGCGUCCUAUUAGGUAGUUGGUGAGGUAACGGCUCACCAAGCCGACGAUAGGUAGGGGUGCUGAGAGGCAGAUCCCCCACAUUGGGACUGAGACACGGCCCAGACUCC